AGUCACUGACAUUAGAUACCCGGGUAGUCCAGGGUGUAAACGCUGCAGACUUGGUGUUGGAGGCCCUUUGGGGGCAUUCAGUGCCGGAGAGAAGUUGUUAAGUCUGCUACUUGGGGAGUACGUCCGUAAGGAUGAAACUUAAAGGAAUUGGCGGGGGAGCACCGCAACGGGAGGAGCGUGCGGUUUAAUUGGAUUCAACACCGUAAACUCACCAGGGAAGACUGUUACAUGAAGGCCGAGAUGAAGACUCUGCUAGAUUUUCAG
rnacentral:rRNA from 1 species